CAACUCUUUGCGGUGGAUCACUUGGCUCGUGCGUCGAUGAAGAACGCAGCUAGCUGCGAGAAUUAAUGUGAAUUGCAGGACACAUUGAUCAU
rnacentral:rRNA from 1 species